GGCAGAGGGAAGGUCAUCGGUGGGGCCACGAGCUGAGUGCCUUGUGUCACUCUACCCCCUGUGGCCUGGGGAGGGUGAGACUAGAGCCAAAAGUGGUCCUAACAGAGGCCACCUCCAAGCGUUUCCGGGAGGUGGGUUUUCGGAGAAGGCGGCUCUCUGCUCCUGAGGGCAGGCUGGGUAGGAGACGCAGCGGACCCCAGCCCCUGAGGACGGACCUGGCAGAUGCCUCCUUAGCCUGACCUUGAACGGACUCACACAGCCAGUGAAGAGAGUUCAAUGGCUGCGGUGAGGUACCUGCCCCUCCCGGGAAGGGGGGGUGGUGGCGCUCAACACCCAAUUCAGACCACUCUCUACUACC
rnacentral:RNase_P_RNA from 1 species